rnacentral:pre_miRNA from 1 species
AAAGUACUCUCUCCAUUUCGAAUUACUUGUUUUGGAUUUGUCUAGAUACGAAUGUAUCUAGACUCAUUUUAGUGAUAGAUACCUCUAAGACAAAUAAUUCGGAACGGAGGGAGUAGGAA